ACGUAGGUGGCAAGCGUUGUCCGGAUUUACUGGGCGUAAAGGAUGCGUAGGCGGAUAUAUAAGUCAGAUGUGAAAUACCCGGGCUCAACUUGGGUGCUGCAUUUGAAACUGUAUAUCUAGAGUGCGGGAGAGGUAAGUGGAAUUCCUAGUGUAGCGGUGAAAUGCGUAGAGAUUAGGAAGAACACCAGUGGCGAAGGCGACUUACUGGACCGUAACUGACGCUGAGGCAUGAAAGCGUGGGGAGCAAACAG
rnacentral:rRNA from 1 species